rnacentral:rRNA from 1 species
AUUGAACGCUGGCGGCAGGCUUAACACAUGCAAGUCGAGCGGAGAUGAGGUGCUUGCACCUUAUCUUAGCGGCGGACGGGUGAGUAAUGCUUUGGAAUCUGCCUAUUAGUGGGGGACAACAUUCCGAAAGGAAUGCUAAUACCGCAUACGUCCUACGGGAGAAAGCAGGGGAUCUUCGGACCUUGCGCUAAUAGAUGAGCCUAAGUCGGAUAGCUAGUUGGUGGGGUAAAGGCCUACCAAGGCGACGAUCUGUAGCGGGUCUGAGAGGAUGAUCCGCCACACUGGGACUGAGACACGGCCCAGACUCCUACGGGAGGCAGCAGUGGGGAAUAUUGGACAAUGGGGGGAACCCUGAUCCAGCCAUGCCGCGUGUGUGAAGAAGGCCUUAUGGUUGUAAAGCACUUUAAGCGAGGAGGAGGCUACUGAGACUAAUACUCUUGGAUAGUGGACGUUACUCGCAGAAUAAGCACCGGCUAACUCUGUGCCAGCAGCCGCCGUAACAC